rnacentral:siRNA from 1 species
AGUCGACUCGUUUUGGUUGCGACA